CUGGCGGCGCGCCUAACACAUGCAAGUCGAACGAGAGAUGAGGAGCUUGCUCUUCAGAUCGAGUGGCGAACGGGUGAGUAACGCGUGAGGAACCUGCCUCAAAGAGGGGGACAACAGUUGGAAACGACUGCUAAUACCGCAUGACACAUCGGAGUCGCAUGGCUCUGAUGUCAAAGAUUUAUCGCUGAAAGAUGGCCUCGCGUCUGAUUAGCUAGUUGGUGAGGUAACGGCCCACCAAGGCGACGAUCAGUAGCCGGACUGAGAGGUUGAACGGCCACAUUGGGACUGAGAUACGGCCCAGACUCCUACGGGAGGCAGCAGUGGGGAAUAUUGGGCAAUGGGCGCAAGCCUGACCCAGCAACGCCGCGUGAAGGAAGAAGGCUUUCGGGUUGUAAACUUCUUUUGUCAGGGACGAGUAGAAGACGGUACCUGACGAAUAAGCCACGGCUAACUACGUG
rnacentral:rRNA from 1 species